GACGAACGCUGGCGGCGUGCUUAACACAUGCAAGUCGAACGGUAAGGCCCUUCGGGGUACACGAGUGGCGAACGGGUGAGUAACACGUGGGUGAUCUGCCCUGCACUUCGGGAUAAGCCUGGGAAACUGGGUCUAAUACCGGAUAGGACCACUGCCUGCAUGGGUGGUGGUGGAAAGCUUCUGCGGUGUGGGAUGGGCCCGCGGCCUAUCAGCUUGUUGGUGGGGUGAUGGCCUAUCAAGGCGACGACGGGUAGCCGGCCUGAGAGGGUGACCGGCCACACUGGGACUGAGAUACGGCCCAGACUCCUACGGGAGGCAGCAGUGGGGAAUAUUGCACAAUGGGCGCAAGCCUGAUGCAGCGACGCCGCGUGAGGGAUGACGGCCUUCGGGUUGUAAACCUCUUUCAGCACCGACGAAGCGCAAGUGACGGUAGGUGCAGAAGAAGGACCGGCCAACUACGUGCCAGCAGCCGCCGUAA
rnacentral:rRNA from 1 species